rnacentral:rRNA from 1 species
UACGUAGGGGGCAAGCGUUGUCCGGAUUUAUUGGGCGUAAAGAGCUCGUAGGUGGUUCGGUAAGUCGGAUGUGAAAUCUCCAGGCUCAACCUGGAGGGGUCAUUCGAUACUGCCGUGACUAGAGGUCGGUAGGGGAGUGUGGAAUUCCUGGUGGAGCGGUGAAAUGCGCAGAUAUCAGGAGGAACACCAGUGGCGAAGGCGGCUCACUGGACCGGUAUUGACGCUGAGGUGCGAAAGCGUGGGGAGCAAACAGG